GUUGCUUCACAACUGGAAGGAUGCCUAUUGUUGACAGUUUGGCCAUCCUGUAGACGGAAGCAUAGAUGAGUGGAAACACAGGCCAGCAUUAAACAGCACGACGCGUUACUUCACAGUGUCGUGUUACCUGUCUUCUGGCACAUUU
rfam:Hordeum vulgare subsp. vulgare, WGS project CAJW01000000 data, contig: morex_contig_158707